rnacentral:lncRNA from 1 species
CCAAUAGAUAAAAAGAUCAGAACUAAAGAGAAGACUCAGAGAGAAUAGCAUCUGUUUCAAAAAAUAAAACAACAAUUGGAUCCCAUAGGAAUCACAUAUUGUCAUUUCUUUAUCCCUGUCUCCAACCAAAGAUUCAUAAAGAAGGAAGAGAGAGCCAAAGAAGUAACGUCCUGAACAACCUAAAGAAAUCUUAUCAGAAGUAGUGACCAUGGCAAU